GAUGAACGCUAGCGGCAGGCUUAACACAUGCAAGUCGAGGGGCAACACGGGUAGCAAUACCUGGUGGCGACCGGCGCAAGGGUGCGUAACGCGUGAGCAACAUGCCCUAUACAGGGGGAUAAUCCAGGGAAACUUGGUCUAAUAUCCCAUAGUAUUUAGAGGUGGCAUCACCACUAAAUUAAAGCUUCGGUGGUAUAGGAUUGGCUCGCGUGACAUUAGCUGGAUGGUGGGGUAACGGCUCACCAUGGCGAUGAUGUCUAGGGGUUCUGAGAGGAAGACCCCCCACACUGGGACUGAGACACGGCCCAGACUCCUACGGGAGGCAGCAGUGAGGAAUAUUGGACAAUGGAUGGAAAUCUGAUCCAGCCAUGCCGCGUGCAGGAUGACGGCCCUACGGGUUGUAAACUGCUUUUCCCCGGGGCGAAUAACCCCCUCGCCGAGGGGGAGUGGCCGGUACCGGGGGAAGUAAGGGAAUCGGCUAACGUCCGUGCCAGCAGCCGCGGUAACUAGUCGUACG
rnacentral:rRNA from 1 species